AUACUUACCUGGACGGGGUCAAUGGGUGAUCAGGAAGACUCAUGGCCUAGAGCAGUGACCUGCAUUGCACUUGGUAGGGGUGCUGCUUUAAGGUCUCCUCAAGAGGGAGAGCCUACGUCAUAAUUUGUGGCAGUGGGGGCUUGCGUUCGCGCAGCCCCUAU
rfam:Gossypium arboreum cultivar AKA8401 contig_49779_1, whole genome shotgun sequence.